GACGAACGCUGGCGGCGUGCUUAACACAUGCAAGUCGAACGGAAAGGCCCUGCUUUUGUGGGGUGCUCGAGUGGCGAACGGGUGAGUAACACGUGAGUAACCUGCCCUUGACUUUGGGAUAACUUCAGGAAACUGGGGCUAAUACCGGGUAGGAGCUCCUGCUGCAUGGUGGGGGUUGGAAAGUUUCGGCGGUUGGGGAUGGACUCGCGGCUUAUCAGCUUGUUGGUGGGGUAGUGGCUUACCAAGGCUUUGACGGGUAGCCGGCCUGAGAGGGUGACCGGCCACAUUGGGACUGAGAUACGGCCCAGACUCCUACGGGAGGCGGCAGUGGGGAAUAUUGCACAAUGGGCGGAAGCCUGAUGCAGCAACGCCGCGUGCGGGAUGACGGCCUUCGGGUUGUAAACCGCUUUCGCCUGUGACGAAGCGUGAGUGACGGUAAUGGGUAAAGAAGCACCGGCUAACUACGUG
rnacentral:rRNA from 1 species